UUGUUUUUUCUUUUUCUUUUUCUUUUCUCUCUUUUUCUUUUUUAUUUUCUUU
rnacentral:ribozyme from 13 species